rnacentral:rRNA from 1 species
CCUGGUUGAUCUUGCCAGUACUCAUAUGCUUGUCUCAAAUAUUAAGCCAUGUAUGUGUAACUAUGAACAAAUUCAGACUAUAAAACUGCCAAUGGCUCAUUAAAUCAAUUAUAGUUUGUUUGAUGGUAUCUACUACUUGGAUAUCCGUAGUAAUUCUAGAGCUAAUACGUGCAACAAACCCCGACUUCUGGAUGGGAUGCAUGUAUUAGAUAAAAGGUCGAUGCGGGCUCUGCCCAUUGCUGAAAUGAUUCAUGAUAACUCGACGGAUCGCACGGCCAUCGUGCCAGUAACGCAUCAUUUAUGUCCUGUCAAGUUUCGAUAGUAGGAUAGUGGCCUACCAUGGUGGUGAUGGGUGAUGGAGAAUUAAGGUUCGAUUUUGGAGAGGGAGCCUGAGAAAUGGCUACCAUAUCCAUGGAAGGCAGUAGGCGUGCAAAUUACCCAAUCCAGACACGGGAAGGUAGUGACAAUAAAUAAUAAUACCGAGCUCAAUAAGUCUGGUAAUUGGAAUGAGUAUAAUCUAAAUCCCUUAACGAGGAUCCAUUGGAGGGAGAGUCUGAUGCCAGCAUCCAUGGUAAUUCCAGCACCAAUAGCGUAUAUUUAAGUUGUUGUAGUUAAAAAUCUCAAAGUUGGAGUUUGGGAUUGGCUGGACGGUCCGCCUAUGGUGUGUAUUGGUCAUCUCGUUCCUUCUGUCGGCAUGCGCUCCUGCCACUAACUUGCCGGGUCGUGCCUCCGGCACUGUUACUUUGAAAAAAUUAGAGUGCUUAAAGCUAGCGUACGCUCUGUAUACAUUAGCAUGGGAUAACAUUAUAGGAUUUCGAUCCUAUUACGUUGGCCUUCUGGAUCAGAGUAAUGAUUAACAGGGACAAUCGGGGGCAUUCUAUUUCAUAGUCAGAGGUGAAAUUAUUGGAUUCAUGAAAUACGAACAACUGCGAAAGCAUUUUCCAAGGAUUUUUUCAUUAACCAAGAAUGAAAGUUGGGGGCUCGAAGGAGAUCAGAUACCGUCCUCAUCUCAAUCAUAAAUGAUUUCGAUGAGUGAUCGAAGGAUGUUGCUUUUUUGACUCUGCCGGCACCUUAUGAGAAAUCAAAGUUUUUGGGUUCCAGGGGGAGUAUGGUCGCAAGGCUGAAACUUAAAGGAAUUAAUGGAAGGGCACCACCAGGAGUGGAGCCUACAACUAAAUUUGAAUCAAUAUGGGGAAACUUACUAGAUCCAGACACAGUAACGAUUGAAAGACUAAGAGCUCUUUCUUGAUUUUAUGGGUGGUGGUGAGUGGCCGUUCUUAGUUGGUGGCGUGAUUUGUCUGGUUAAUUUCGUUAACGAAUAAGACCUCAGCCUACUAACAAGCUAUGCGGAGGUAUCCCUUCACGGCCAGCUUCUUAGAGGGACUACGGUCUUUUAGGCUGCAGAAGUUAGAGGCAAUAACAGGUCUGUGAUGCCCUUAGAUGUUCUGGGCCGCACGCGCCCUACACUGAUGUAUUCAACGACUUUAUAGCCUUGGCCGACAGGCUCGGGUAAUCUUUGAAAUUUCAUCGUGAUUGGGAUAGAUCAUUGCAAUUGUUGGCCUUCAAGAAGGAAUUCCUAGUAAGCCCGAGUCAUCAGGUCGCGUUGACUACGUCCCUGACCUUUGAACACACCACCCAUAUCUCCUACUGAUUAAAUAAUCUGGUGAAAUAUUCGGAUCGCGGUGAUGUGGGUGGUUCGCUACCCGCGACAUUGCGAGAAUUCCAUUGAACCUUAUCAUUUAGCGAAAGGAGAAUUCGUAUCAAGGUUUCCGUAAGUGAACGUGUGGAAG